GAGUCUGGGGCUCUGGUCGAAAGGGGAAGAAACAGGGGUGCUGGGAGCUGCCCCCCUGCUCCCUCCCUUGGAGGCACGGGGGGGGCGCCUUGGUGAAUGGCUUUCUUGCUGGCCACUUGCGGAGUGAGUAGACCCGGAGUAUCUGGGAGAGGGGCCGGCCCCCACCCCUGAGUCCCUGGGGCCAGGCCGGGGCGCAAAUGUCUUGCUCACACUGCCUCCUUCCCGUGGCUCCCUGGGGGUUUGGAUUCAGGAUUUAUUCCUAGUGCCCUAGACUUUGACAAAAAACUUACAGAAGCUGAUGCUUACCUUCAAAUCUUGAUUGAACAAUUAAAACUUUUUGAUGACAAGCUUCAAAACUGCAAAGAAGAUGAACAAAGAAAGAAAAUUGAAAUGCUCAAAGAGACAACGAACAGCAUGGUAGAAUCAAUUAAACACUGAGUUGUGUUGCUGCAGAUUGCUAAAAGUACUAUUAAUCCUGUAGAUGCAAUAUAUCAACCUAGUCCUUUGGAACCUGUGGUCAGCACAAUGCCUUCCCAGACUGUAUUAUCUCCAGAACCUGUUCAGUUGUGUAAGUCAGAGCAAUGUCCAUCUUCCCUACCAGUUGGACCUAUGUUGGCUACCUUGGUACAUCAUCAGACUCCUACACCAAAUAGUACAGGCAGUGGCCAUUCACCACCAAGUAGCAGUCUAACUUCUCCAAGCCAUGUGAACUUGUCUCCAAAUACAGUCCCAGAGUUCUCUUACUCUAGCAGUGAAGAUGAAUUUUAUGAUGCCAACAAAUUCCAUCAAAGUGGCUCAUCCCCAAAGCGCUUAAUAGAUUCUUCUGGAUCUGCCUCAGUCCUGACACACAGCAGCUCAGGAAAUAGUCUAAAACACCCAGAUACCACAGAAUCACUUAAUUCUUCCAUGUCCAAUGGAACAACCUUUUCGAUUCACAUGACGAUAGAGAUGAUGAUGCGGAGGCAGGGUCCGUGGAGGAGCACAAGAGCGUUAUUAGGUAUCUCUUAUCACAGGUUAGGCUUGGGAUAGAUCUUACUAAGGUAGUUCUUCCAACAUUUCUUCUUGAAAGAAGAUCUCUUUUAGAAAUGUAUGCAGACUUUUUUGCACAUUCGGACCGGUUUGUGAGCAUUAGUGACCACAAGUAUCCCAAGGAUCGAAUGGUUCAGGUUGUGAAAUGGUACCUCUCAGCCUUUCAUGCAGGAAGGAAAGGAUCAGUUGCCAAAAAGCCAUACAAUCCCAUUUUGGGCGAGAUCUUUCAGUGUCAUUGGAUAUUACCAAAUGAUACAGAAGAGAACACAGAACUAGUUUCAGAAGGACCAGUUCCCUGGGUUUCCAAAAACAGUGUAACAUUCGUGGCUGAGCAGGUUUCCCAUCAUCCACCCAUUUCAGCCUUUUAUGCUGAGUGUUUUAACAAGAAGAUACAAUUCAAUGCUCAUAUCUGAACCAAAUCAAAAUUCCUUGGGAUGUCAAUUGGGGUGCACAACAUAGGGCAGGGCUGUGUCUCAUGUCUUGACUAUGAUGAACAUUACAUUCUCACAUUCCCCAAUGGCUAUGGAAGGUCUAUCCUCACAGUGCCCUGGGUGGAAUUAGGAGGAGAAUGCAAUAUUAAUUGUUCCAAAACAGGCUAUAGUGUAAAUAUCUUCCACACUAAACCCUUCUAUGGGGGCAAGAAGCACAGAAUUACUGCUGAGAUUUUUUCUCCAAAUGACAAUAAGUCUUUUUGCUCAAUUGAAGGGGAAUGGAGUGGUGUGAUGUAGGCAAAAUAUGCAACAGGGGAAAAUACAGUCUUUGUAGAUACCAAGAAGUUGCCUAUAAUCAAGAAGAAAGUGAGGAAGUUGGAAGAUCAGAACGAGUAUGAAUCCCGCAGCCUUUGGAAGGAUGUCACUUUCAACUUAAAAAUCAGAGACAUUGAUGCAGCAACUGAAGCAAAGCACAGGCUUGAAGAAAGACAAAGAGCAGAAGCCCGAGAAAGGAAGGAAAAGGAAAUUCAGUGGGAGACAAGGUUAUUUCAUGAAGAUGGAGAAUGUUGGGUUUAUGAUGAACCAUUACUGAAACGUCUUGGUGCUGCCAUGCAUUAGGUUGGAAGAUGCGAAGUUUAUACCUGAUGAUCAGGGAAGGAGGCAUAAUUCAGCAAGAAAUAAUCUUCCUUUGGGAGAAACCUGUUUACUCCCUUCUUAUUACAGUGGUUCCUAUCUCAGGGAUACUGGACUUUCUGACACAGAUGAACAAUUAAAGUGGGAAAAGGUUCUCUUUUCCCUCUGUGGCAGUUAUGAUUUUGACUUCGGUCCUGAGAAAAACUUCAGGUUUUGAAAACAAGGUGAUGUCUGCUCCUUUUCCAAACCUCACAUGUUUAAAAGCAUUUAUAAAUCCAUGUCUGAAACGCCACACUCUAGUACUGCUGUUAAGAUAGUUCUUAGUUCAUAUAAUCUUGGGAUACAUGCACACACAUCUGUAUACACACCACAUACAAGCACACAUAUGUACACACACACACACACACACAUAUUAAAAUAUACCUGAUGCCAGAUUUUUUAAAUACUCUGCCUGCUGUAAAUAUGGGUUCCUCUGAGUUGUUUUAGAAAAUUAGCACAAUGUAUUAAAAUCAAGUGUUAGGAAAUUUCAUGAUCUUACCUACAAUAACUUUUAUUUUUGAACUGAACUAUUAUUAAAUUGUAUCUAAUCCUG